GAUGAACGCUGGCGGCGUGCCUAAUACAUGCAAGUCGAGCGAACGGACGAGAAGCUUGCUUCUCUGAUGUUAGCGGCGGACGGGUGAGUAACACGUGGAUAACCUACCUAUAAGACUGGGAUAACUUCGGGAAACCGUAGCUAAUACCGGAUAAUAUUUUGAACCGCAUGGUUCAAAAGUGAAAGACGGUCUUGCUGUCACUUAUAGAUGGAUCCGCGCUGCAUUAGCUAGUUGGUAAGGUAACGGCUUACCAAGGCAACGAUGCAUAGCAGACCUGAGAGGGUGAUCGGCCACACUGGAACUGAGACACGGUCCAGACUCCUACGGGAGGCAGCAGUAGGGAAUCUUCCGCAAUGGGCGAAAGCCUGACGGAGCAACGCCGCGUGAGUGAUGAAGGUCUUCGGAUCGUAAAACUCUGUUAUUAGGGAAGAACAUAUGUGUAAGUAACUGUGCACAUCUUGACGGUACCUAAUCAGAAAGCCACGGCUAACUACGUG
rnacentral:rRNA from 1 species